UACGUAGGGGGCGAGCGUUGUCCGGAAUUAUUGGGCGUAAAGAGCGUGUAGGCGGUUCGGUAAGUCUGCCGUGAAAACCUGGGGCUCAACCUCGGGCGUGCGGUGGAUACUGCCGGGCUAGAGGACGGUAGAGGCGAGUGGAAUUCCCGGUGUAGCGGUGAAAUGCGCAGAUAUCAGGAAGAACACCAACGGCGAAGGCAGCUCGCUGGGACGGUACUGACGCUGAGACGCGAAAGCGUGGGGAGCGAACAGG
rnacentral:rRNA from 1 species